UUUUAUUUGGAUAUUUUAAUAAAAAAAUUGUAUAUUUGAAUUAAAAAAAAACAAAAUAGUUGAAACAAAAAGAUUUAAUAGCUUAUUAAACAAACAUAAGUUGAUCAGUUUGAAAAAGGUAUAGUUUUAAUUUGUUUAAGAUUGAAGCCUAAUAUAUGUAUAUAUUAUUUAUUUCUAAUGCCAGAAAUUCUAAAAUACAUUUUGUUCACAGUAAAAUGUCAUAAACUUAAAAAUUGUUUAAAAUGUAUGUUUUUAAAAUGUUUUACAUGUUUCAGAUGUUCCUUCAGAGUUGAAGAUAGCUUUGUUUCCUAGUCCAAACCUCCCGCAGGACAACGGGGGAUGGAAGCAAGCAGGGCUUGAACCCGGGACCAUCGAUAAAUCCAAAUGACAGUCCAGCGUGCAUACCGCACGACCAGGCAGCCAUCCAUUUUUAAUAACAUUAUUUAGAAAAUAAAUAAAUAUAGACUUACUAUUUUUUAAAAAGUUAUACAAUUAUUGGAAUGAAAAAAGAAAAGAAAAUUUUUUGAGGUAAUAAUAAAACUCGGAUGAAAUGUUUUUUAAAUAGUAUUUUUAAGCACAAAACAUAAAUAUAUAUAUAUAUAUAUAUAUAUG